rnacentral:rRNA from 1 species
GGAGGAAAGCAGGGGAUCGCAAGACCUUGCGCUUUUGGAGCGGCCGAUGCCUGAUUAGCUAGUUGGUGAGGUAAAGGCUUACCAAGGCUUCGAUCAGUAGCUGGUCUGAGAGGACGACCAGCCACACUGGGACUGAGACACGGCCCAGACUCCUACGGGAGGCAGCAGUGGGGAAUCUUGGACAAUGGGGGAAACCCUGAUCCAGCCAUGCCGCGUGAGUGAAGAAGGCCUUCGGGUUGUAAAGCUCUUUCAGCCGGAACGAAAAGGUCACGGCUAAUACCCGUGACAAAUGACGGUACCGGAAGAAGAAGCACCGGCUAACUACGUGCCAGCAGCCGCGGUAAUACGUAGGGUGCAAGCGUUAAUCGGAAUUACUGGGCGUAAAGCGUGCGCAGGCGGUUUUGUAAGUCAGAUGUGAAAUCCCCGGGCUUAACCUGGGAACUGCGUUUGAAACUACAAGGCUAG